GUUGUACGUAGCUUGAGAACCAGCCCUAUUCAUUCGAAAGACCGUACCUCUAUAGAUGACUUCGAGAUAAUAAAGCCAAUUAGUCGUGGGGCAUUUGGCCGUGUUUUCUUGGCGAAAAAGAAAACCACCGGAGAUUUCUUUGCCAUUAAGGUUUUGAAGAAGGCAGAUAUGAUACGCAAAAAUGCCGUUGAGAGUAUAUUGGCGGAACGGGAUAUUUUAAUAUCAGUUCGCAAUCCCUUUGUGGUUCGCUUCUUUUACUCAUUUACUUGCCGCGAGAACUUGUACCUUGUGAUGGAAUACUUGAAUGGUGGGGACCUGUAUUCAUUGUUGAGAAAUCUUGGCUGCUUGGAUGAAGAUGUUGCUCGUGUUUAUGUCGCUGAAGUAGUGCUUGCUCUGGAAUAUCUGCACUCUUUGCGAGUGGUUCAUCGUGAUUUAAAGCCAGACAAUUUGUUAAUUGCUCAUGAUGGUCACAUCAAGUUGACGGACUUUGGGCUUUCUAAAGUCGGU
rnacentral:misc_RNA from 1 species